GCUUAACACAUGCAAGUCGAGCGGUAAGGCCCUUCGGGGUACACGAGCGGCGAACGGGUGAGUAACACGUGGGUGAUCUGCCCUGUACUUCGGGAUAAGCCUGGGAAACUGGGUCUAAUACCGGAUAUGACCUUACAUCGCAUGGUGUUUGGUGGAAAGAUUUAUCGGUACAGGAUGGGCCCGCGGCCUAUCAGCUUGUUGGUGGGGUAAUGGCCUACCAAGGCGACGACGGGUAGCCGGCCUGAGAGGGCGACCGGCCACACUGGGACUGAGACACGGCCCAGACUCCUACGGGAGGCAGCAGUGGGGAAUAUUGCACAAUGGGCGAAAGCCUGAUGCAGCGACGCCGCGUGAGGGAUGACGGCCUUCGGGUUGUAAACCUCUUUCGACAGGGACGAAGCGCAAGUGACGGUACCUGUAGAAGAAGCACCGGCCAACUACGUGCCAGCAGCCGCGGUAAUACGUAGGGUGCGAGCGUUGUCCGGAAUUACUGGGCGUAAAGAGCUUGUAGGCGGUUUGUCGCGUCGUCCGUGAAAACUUGGGGCUCAACCCCAAGCUUGCGGGCGAUACGGGCAGACUUGAGUACUGCAGGGGAGACUGGAAUUC
rnacentral:rRNA from 1 species